rnacentral:lncRNA from 1 species
UUUAGGGUAUCCACACAAUAAAGAGAAACAGGAAAACAAUAGUGUGGAUGCCUUUGAGGGCAUCCACACAAUAAAGAGAAACAGGAAAACAAUUGUGUGGAAGCCCUUUAGGGCAUCCACACAAUAAAGAGAAACAGGAACUCAAUAGUGUGGAAGCCCUUUGAGGGCAUCCACACAAUAAAGAGAAACAGGAACUCAAUAGUGGAAGCCUUUGAGGGCAUCCACUCAAUAAAGAGAAACAGGAACUCAAUAGAGUGGAUGCCUUUGAGGGCAUCCACACAAUUAAAGCUGCAAGCAGCGAUAUGAGGGCCCUCGCACCCCAGCACGUCGAGCCAAGCCCAAAACCUAAAACCAGUGCGUCCGAUCUGAUGUCACAUUGAUGGAAUUCAUGCGUUUAACCACCAGCUAACAUUUCAUCUCAUUCAACCAUUAUUAUAGUCGUCCCACUAGGUGGCGCUCUAACCAUUAAUGACAAAUGGCAUAACAAAC